rnacentral:rRNA from 1 species
AGUGAACGCUGGCGGUAGGCCUAACACAUGCAAGUCGAACGGCAGCACAGUAAGAGCUUGCUCUUACGGGUGGCGAGAGACGGACGGGUGAGGAAUACAUCGGAAUCUACUUUUUCGUGGGGGAUAACGUAGGGAAACUUACGCUAAUACCGCAUACGACCUACGGGUGAAAGCAGGGGAUCUUCGGACCUUGCGCGAUUGAAUGAGCCGAUGUCGGAUUAGCUAGUUGGCGGGGUAAAGGCCCACCAAGGCGACGAUCCGUAGCUGGUCUGAGAGGAUGAUCAGCCACACUGGAACUGAGACACGGUCCAGACUCCUACGGGAGGCAGCAGUGGGGAAUAUUGGACAAUGGGCGCAAGCCUGAUCCAGCCAUACCGCGUGGGUGAAGAAGGCCUUCGGGUUGUAAAGCCCUUUUGUUGGGAAAGAAAAGCAGCAGGUUAAUACCCCGCUGUUCUGACGGUACCCAAAGAAUAAGCACCGGCUAACUUCGUG